AGAGUUUGAUCCUGGCUCAGGAUGAACGCUGGCGGCGUGCCUAAUACAUGCAAGUCGAGCGAACAGACGAGGAGCUUGCUCCUCUGACGUUAGCGGCGGACGGGUGAGUAACACGUGGAUAACCUACCUAUAAGACUGGGAUAACUUCGGGAAACCGGAGCUAAUACCGGAUAAUAUAUUGAACCGCAUGGUUCAAUAGUGAAAGACGGUUUUGCUGUCACUUAUAGAUGGAUCCGCGCCGCAUUAGCUAGUUGGUAAGGUAACGGCUUACCAAGGCAACGAUGCGUAGCCGACCUGAGAGGGUGAUCGGCCACACUGGAACUGAGACACGGUCCAGACUCCUACGGGAGGCAGCAGUAGGGAAUCUUCCGCAAUGGGCGAAAGCCUGACGGAGCAACGCCGCGUGAGUGAUGAAGGUCUUCGGAUCGUAAAACUCUGUUAUUAGGGAAGAACAAAUGUGUAAGUAACUAUGCACGUCUUGACGGUACCUAAUCAGAAAGCCACGGCUAACUACGUGCCAGCAGCCGCGGUAAUACGUAGGUGGCAAGCGUUAUCCGGAAUUAUUGGGCGUAAAGCGCGCGUAGGCGGUUUUUUAAGUCUGAUGUGAAAGCCCACGGCUCAACCGUGGAGGGUCAUUGGAAACUGGAAAACUUGAGUGCAGAAGAGGAAAGUGGAAUUCCAUGUGUAGCGGUGAAAUGCGCAGAGAUAUGGAGGAACACCAGUGGCGAAGGCGACUUUCUGGUCUGUAACUGACGCUGAUGUGCGAAAGCGUGGGGAUCAAACAGGAUUAGAUACCCUGGUAGUCCACGCCGUAAACGAUGAGUGCUAAGUGUUAGGGGGUUUCCGCCCCUUAGUGCUGCAGCUAACGCAUUAAGCACUCCGCCUGGGGAGUACGACCGCAAGGUUGAAACUCAAAGGAAUUGACGGGGGCCCGCACAAGCGGUGGAGCAUGUGGUUUAAUUCGAAGCAACGCGAAGAACCUUACCAGGUCUUGACAUCCUUCUGACCGGCCUAGAGAUAGGCUUUCUCUUCGGAGCAGAAGUGACAGGUGGUGCAUGGUUGUCGUCAGCUCGUGUCGUGAGAUGUUGGGUUAAGU
rnacentral:rRNA from 1 species